AGUGAACGCUGGCGGCAGGCCUAACACAUGCAAGUCGAGCGGCAGCGCGGGGGAAACCCUGGCGGCGGCGGGCGGACGGGUAGGGAAUUCGUCGAAAUCUGCCUUUUUGUGGGGGAUACCGUAGGAAACCUUCGGCAAAUACCCCAUACGUCCUCCGGGGGAAAGUGGGGGCCCGCAAGGCCUCACGCAGAAAGAUAAGCCGACGACCGAUUAGCUAGUUGGUGGGGUAAAGGCCCACCAAGGCGACGAUCGGUAGCUGGUCUGAGAGGAUGAUCAGCCACACUGGGACUGAGACACGGCCCAGACUCCUACGGGAGGCAGCAGUGGGGAAUAUUGGACAAUGGGCACAAGCCUGAUCCAGCCAUGCCGCGUGUGUGAAGAAGGCCUUCGGGUUGUAAAGCACUUUUGUCCGGAAAGAAAUCCCUGGAGCUAAUACCUUCGGGGGAUGACGGUACCGGAAGAAUAAGCACCGGCUAACUUCGUG
rnacentral:rRNA from 1 species